rnacentral:misc_RNA from 1 species
GGAAAACCACGUACGAGGAGAUUCAGUGCCAGCAAGGGUGGGUGGGCCGCACUGCAGAGGAGUGGGGACGGGGAGGCGGAGGGCCAUGUGUGGCGUACACUCGUUUACGAAGAACGCCCGCUACAAGAACAGAAACAAGGGGAAAAAGAUGUGAACACGAGAGAUGCGUGCAGCACGCUAGAUCGACCUUCUUUUCCUUGUGUUUACUUCUGUUGCUUCCUCAUCCCUCCCUCUUUUUUUUGUGCGUUUUUCACAUUUUUCUCUUUUCCAAAGUAGAAAAAGGAAACGGGGCGAGGGCACGGGUGCGAAAAAAGAAAAACAGCGAACCAACCCAAACCGACCCAAAGGGGAUGUUGGGCGUUGGUACGGACAACAAAGGAAGAAGAAGUCGUGCGGUAAGUACAAAUAUAUAUUUUUUUUCCUUCAGGUUGCCGUACCCUUUUUUUUCACGUCUUUCUCUUCACCUAUCUAUGCUGCUCAGCGAACAGAAUACACGUAGUCUCUUCUUUCUUCUCUCUCCGUCUCGGCACAUCGAUCUACUAGUCUUUUGUGUGUGCGUGUGUGUGUGUGUGUGUACGCGUCCCUCUCUCCUGCAGCGUCGGAUCGGCCACCUUCUUCCCUCUUGUACGGUUUCUUUCUGUAUUUUCUUUGUUUACUUGUAGUCGAAAUAGGCGUUUUGGUGUACAUGCAUGUCUGCGCUCGUGCGUGUGCACAUACAUGUUCGUGUGUCUGCUGUUUGUGUGCGUGUGCCUGUAUGUGUCGUCUCCGCCUCAUUUUUGUCUUAUAUAUCUCUAUCUUGUGUUUCUUGAUUGUCAGUCUGUGUGCACUCGCGUGAUUGCGAGUGUCACCAGCAAAACAAAAAGAACUCCAACCGAAAAAAAAAAUAGAAGCGAAAGAGAAAAAAGGAAGGAGGAAGCGAAGAGACAGGCUAGUCUCUUCAAGGGUCUUAUAAUGUGCACCAUUUUGUGGUGUUGUAGUUUGCAGCAGGUGAAGUGCGCUCAGGCUUCUUGUUGGUGCUCUUUUUUUUUGUCUUGGUGUUGUGGCUCUCUUUCUCGCCGUGUCUCUCGGUCUCAGCCUACUCCGCCGCCGUUUUUCGUGCUUUGUAGUUUUUCGCCACUUUACCAUCUCUCUCCCUCCGAUUGUCUCUCCAUACAUCUCUCUCUCUCUUUGCCUGUACAUGUAGGUGUGUGAAGAGGACUCUUGCGUGCUACGCCGUGCUCCCUUUCUGUCUCUUUUCUUUUUUUUUUUCGUUGUCGCACCUUUUAGUGUUUGAGUCGAAGGCCGCGGCGGAAGAUAUCGGGACUCAGAUUCUUACGGUCGCUCUUUUUUUUCGUCGCCCCAUUUCUGAGCUCUGCGUGUGCAUCCUCUGCUAUCCAUCUGCCUGCGCAGUUUGACCUUUUAAAGAGACACUGCAGACACCGAAGCCUUCGCCCUACCUGUGUGAGUGCACCACCGCGAAAAUUUCUCCCCUUCCAUCAUUGUAUCUCUGUCGCUUCUCUGUCUUCCUUGAAACCUUUCUUCUCGUCGUUUUCUCUCUCCAUCACGUGCUUGUGUCUGUGCUUGUAUCUGUGCUUGUGCGCUGCAUCUUUGUGUAGAUGAUAUUUGGGUGUGUGUGUGCGCGUGGAUGCGUGUGUCAGGCGGCAGCGCUCCUUUCAUCUGUCUUGUUGUCGUCACAAACAACCAACCAACAAACCCAACAUGCACUAUCGUACUCCCUUUCCCUCUUAUCAUCAUUUUUCAAGUUUUUUGACCUUUUUCGCUUGUUUGUGUGCGUAUUGUUUCAUCUUUUCGCUUCCCCAUUCUGCAUCUCUGUCUGUGUCUCUGUUCUGUCGAUGUUUUUUUUUUCCUCCUCCCUUUUUUCGUUCUCUGCUGAUCGUGCGGCGCCACACGCGCUACGCUCAAACAAGCUUAUGCGCCCACCGAGACAUACAGAAAAAAGGCAACGAAAAAAGAAAACCGAGAAUGCAAUGGGGGAGGAAGAGAGGGAGAGGGAGGGGGAGAGAUGGAGAGAAACAAUGCUCGAAUACAUCCACCAAGAUACACACACACACACACACACACACAUGCGGGGCCGCGCUCAACGAAAAGGACAAAAAAGAAAAUAGCAGUCGGUACACCGAGCCUUGCCCACCCUCCUUUGCGCCUCCCUUCCUUCCUUCCUUGUGUUGUACGCUCCUCAUUUUUUUGUUUCGUUGUUCUGUGAUUUUGGUUCUCUCUAUAAUUUUGUCGCCUUCUUCUCCUUUUCUUUUACUCGCAUCUCUCAUCUUUGGUGCGUCACUUCGUCCCUCCUCUGCCUCCUUUGCUCGUUUCGAUGGCGAGCGUGCUCCUUCUCCAUCGCCGUUGUAUAUGUAUGCUUGGUGCCGUGUAGCCGUGCGUGCGUGUGUGUGUGUGUGUGUGGGCCUGUGCGCGCGCAUUGUACAGUUUUGUAUUCUCUCUACUUAUAACCGUGCACAGCCUUACCCCUGUUAUCCACCGGUCUCUCCUUCAUCUCCGCCCCACGCUCACGUGUCUUUUGUUUCUUUUUUUUUUUUCGCUUCUCCUAUCUGCUGUGCGCAUGUGUUUUUGCACGUCGUUGCGCGCGGAGCGGAAAAGAGUUCGCGACGCGCGUGGGGAGUCAAAAGAGGUGCACCGCCGAUCUCGUUGCAGGACGCGGCUGUACCGCACGCCUCCACGCUUUGCUGAACCUCUGUCGCUUCAGUAUUUCGCACUCGAAUGGCUUUGUGCGGGGUGCCACAACUGCGCGCAAGAGGCGAGGCGGCAGGAUGCAGGCACACGCAUACGCGCUCUCCUUGCAGCGGCUCACGAGACCAAUACCAUCAAAACUGGCCACAGAGAAGGCGAGGCGGUUCUCGGCAACGACCACGCACAUUUUUUUCUGCGAUGAAAGCAGCAGUGGUGGUGCCGCUGCCGAGACAGCGUAGCAGCGGGGACGGACUGCAGGGCAACAAGAGAUAUGAGGGGAGAGGGAAAGUCAAUGAUAUCUGGAGAAGUUGAGAGACCACCUCCAAGAGAGUGCACAAGAAGGAGGAGAGGAAGUCGACGAGAACGAGCGAGGGAAGGAACUUCCCGUCUGGGUGCGUGUGCCGAAUAGAAAAGGGAAAAAUGGAAAGACAAAAUAUGGAUCAUUGGUGCUGAGAAGUUCUGCUAUUUUUCGAAGUCAACACGAAAUUCGAAAGGACGAUCAUGCCUUUGUUUCUCUUUUUUUAGCCGCGGGGUGGCCGACCAAAGGGACCUUCGCUGUCUGCCUGCCUGUCUGGCGUGCCUGCGUGCGUGUGUGUGUGUGCCUCAGACAGCCCCUUCUCCACCGCGAGGGCACAACUCAACUGUGCGGAAUGACAAAGUACACAGCGACAAGAAAGGAGAACUAUAUAUAUAUAUAUAUAUCAUUUUUUUUCCAUCCUGUCCCUUUUUUUUGUUGAUGGCAGAGAUUGAUAAGCGGUUUGCUUGGUCUCCACCUCUCUGAAAAAAAAAAUAGAAGAGAGAGAGAGACCAGAAGUCGGCCUCGAGCAGUCCCAGAGGGGGAGGGGGAGAUAAGGGUAGGGAACAGAAAAGGACACACGGGGAGGAGACACCUACCGCGAGAGUUUAGCAAUGAGAGAAGGAGAGAAUGACGCGAAGGAUGGAGAGAGACUGACAGGGCGAUGUAGACAUGCGCAAGGAAAACAAAGAGGGAGGAAGAGAGCAGCAGCGUGUUCUCUCUUUUUGGUUUGUUUGUCUUUCCUUUCUUCGACUGCCCAUAGGUUACGAGCUCUCCAUUUCUCUCUGUCUCGGUCUCUGCUUUCCUCUCCGAGUUCGCACGUGUAUAUAUGUAUACGUGUGUAUGUGUGUUUUCUUCUUGGUCUUGCGCGUCUUUGCGCGCCUCUCUCUCUGUGUACGUUUAUCUAUGUUUUUGUGCGCGUGUGGGUGUAUGUUGGGGUUUCCGGAGCGGAAAGAAAACUAGAGAGAGAGAGAGGCCACUAGAAAAGUGAAAAUCCAUGCACGCCCACACACACACACACACACACACACACACACACACGCACAACAGCAACAACAACAAAUCGACGAAAAAGGACUGAACAUUUGAAGAAGAAAAGCGAAAAGAAAAAGGAACGUAACCGUGAAGGAAGGAGAGCAUUAAAUGGAAAAAAAGUUGCUGUUCCUGUUUGUGUGGAGGAGGAGAAGCGAGAGUGUGCGGAGAAGAUAAUGAUGCACGGAUGGUUUGACGAGAGGAGGGAGAGAGAGGGAGUUAUGAGGAUGGCGCGAACGCCCGACAACUGGUUGUGUGUCUUCUUUUCUCUUUCGUGUGUAGCAGCGGUAGCGAACGAGGAUUUAGAGAGGCAGGUGUACCACAGGGACCGGCGAAGCUGAAGACCGUCGGGAAAACACUUGCGCCCAGAGAAAUCCGAAUCAACGCAAGGGAGCGCUUCUUAUCCUACAUGUGGGAGCUUCGCUCGCAUUUUUCAAGAUGUUUGCCUCGACGUGUCUCUUUCUGCCGCUACGAGGCUGCAUUUGUGCGAGUGUGUUUGCGUUCGCACAGGCGUAGGAUAAACCAUUUUUUUUUGUUGUUUGUGUUUUGUGGUUUGCGCUCUGCCGUAUGCCAUUCCACCUCUCUUCAUCUCAUCUCUCUUUUGUGCCUCUCAGGUCUCUCUUGCAUCGCUCUCUGUCUUGUCGGGUCUGUGUCCGUGAAGGUGCGCGUGUCUCCUCGUUUUCUUGUUUAUUGUUUUGUUUGAGUCAGUUGUCGGUGCGCUCUUUUUCCUUUGUUUUUUAUUUUUUCCCCGUUUCUCUAGCCCUUUCUUUUAUUUUAUUCCACUCUUCCGUAAGUCGACGAUAACGAG